rnacentral:misc_RNA from 1 species
UUUCCGUAGGUGAACCUGCGGAAGGAUCAUUGUCGAGACCUGCCCAGCAGAAAGACCCGCGAACACGUUACAACACCCCAUAUGGGGGCGAGGGGCACGAACACGCCCCGGACCCUCCUCGUCGGGUGCGUGUGGCCCCGCCCCUCGCACCCGGCACCAAACGAACCCCGGCGCGGAAUGCGUCAAGGAAAAGACAACGAGACGAUCCCCGCCAUCGAGGCCCCGGAAACGGUGACUCCGCCUCGGUGGUCGCCUCGGGAUUGGUACGAGUAUAAAGAACGACUCUCGGCAACGGAUAUCUCGGCUCUCGCAUCGAUGAAGAACGUAGCGAAAUGCGAUACUUGGUGUGAAUUGCAGAAUCCCGUGAACCAUCGAGUCUUUGAACGCAAGUUGCGCCCGAAGCCAUCAGGUCGAGGGCACGUCUGCCUGGGCGUCACACGUCGUUGCCCCCCAGCGAAGCCCCCUACUGCUCCUAGCCGGGCGAGGGGGGACCGUGGGGGGGGCGGACAAUGACCUCCCGUGCGCGCUCUUCGACCCGCGGUUGGUCCAAAAAUCGAGUCCCCUGUCACGUCGUCUUGGCAACAGGUAGUCGAUCAUUCGGUGCCACCGCCACGUGCGUCGGGCACGCAUCGGGACUCCGAUACACCCCAAUGCGCCCGUCACGGGUGCCUCACAACGCGACCCCAGGUCAGGCGGGGCUACCCGCUGAGUU